CUUGCGCCUUCAGGGGAGACUGGCUGGCUCAGAAACCGAUCCUUCGAUGGUGGAAGGGCUACGACGUCCCCAAACUCACUCGCAAAAGCUGAAGUCCCUUUUCCCUUGGUGGAGCGGGGUCUUGCGCUGUUUUCAGAUUCUGUCCUUGUUGCAGUCCUUGCAGUGUAUCCGUCAGGAGUGCCUUUGGUUCCCCUGUGUAAGGACAGUGGAAAGGCCAUGAGAAGAUCCAGUGAGAAGACAGCCAUCUACAAGCUGUCUACAAGAGAGACCUCUUACAGGAGACCAACCCUGCUGACAUCUUGAUCUUGGACUUCCAGCCUCCAGAACUGACACAUGAAUAUGCAUACAGAUAAAAGCAAAGUGUGGGACUUCCCUGGCGGUCCAGUGGUUAGGUCCAGGCGGCUGCCAAAGCAGGGGACCCGAGUUCAAUCCCUGGUCUGGAGAGAUCCCAUGCUGUGGAGCAGCUAAGUCUGUGAGCCACAGCUCCUGAAGUCUGUGUGCUCUAGAGCCCAUGUGCUACGAUGACUGAAGCCCAUGCACCUACAGCCCACGUUCUGCGACAAGAGAAACCAUCGAGAUGAGAAGCCUGUUCACUGCGACGAAGAGGAGCCCCCCACUCUCUGAAGACUAAAGCAAGCCUGUGCGCAGCAAUGACGACCCAGUGCACCCAUCAAUACAUAAACAAUUAAAUAAAUAAAAGCAAAGUGUAAUAAACCGUGUUGCACUGUGAUGUUUUCUACUCCAUUUUAUUUUGUUGUAAGAAACAUUUUAAAACAUACUUUUAUGAACCACUAAGGGGCUGACAGUUUACAAGUAACUUCUUACAUUUUUUACACCUUUGCAAGCUGUAACACCCAUUUUACAAACGGGAAAAUCUGAAUCAUCUUCAUAAAAGCCGGUGAGGUCAUCAGGCAGGGUUCUCUCAUUGACCCAUUUUAUAGAUAAGAAACACAGACUCUGAGAGGUUCAUGGACCUGCUUGAGAUCACCCAGCUGGUAAGUGACAGAGAUGGCGUUCCAAGACAGGUCUUCCCUGGGCAGGGUGGGUUUGUGGUCCCCCACACACUGUGGCAUCCCUCUUCAACCCUUCCCGUUGAUAUCUUUGUCUCUUUCCAGUUUGAAGGCCAUCUCUUCCAAGGGGGAGAUGGAGGGACAGAACAGCUGAGUAAUUCUGUUUUCCAUGUCAUCUGUUAACCCUGCACCAUCUGCCCAAUCUACUCUCAGCCCUGACCCGCUCUCUCUGAGUGGCUGGAGUGGGGGAGGAGGCGUUUUCCUGGGGUCUGGACUCAGAAUACCCACAGAAAACUCAUUUUUCUGCUCAGAACCAACAGCAGUGGCCUAGAAUUACAGGGCGUGUCAGGGAGUGGAGCGAGAGGGGAGAAAGGAUUUUCUGACAUC